rnacentral:rRNA from 1 species
AGAGUUUGAUCCUGGCUCAGAAUUAACGCUGGCGGCAUGCGUAACACAUGCAAGUCGUACGAGAAAGCCCCUUUCGGGGGGCAAGUAAAGUGGCGCACGGUGAGUAACGCGUGGGUAAUCUACCCCGGUCUGGGGGAUAACGCACCGAAAGGUGCGCUAAUACCGCAUGACCCGGCGGGUCUUUGGGCCCGUUGGAAAAGGUGGCCUCUACAUGUAAGCUACCGAACCGGGAUGAGCCCGCGUCCUAUUAGCUUGUUGGUGGGGUAAUGGCCCACCAAGGCGACGAUGGGUAGCUGGUCUGAGAGGACGGCCAGCCACACUGGAACUGGUACACGGUCCAGACUCCUACGGGAGGCAGCAGUGAGGAAUAUUGCGCAAUGGGGGAAACCCUGACGCAGCGAUGCCGCGUGAGUGAAGAAGGCCUUCGGGUCGUAAAGCUCUGUCAAACGGGAAGAAUAGCUCCGGGGCUAAUAUCCUCGGGGUGUGACGGUACCGUUGAAGGAAGCACCGGCUAACUCCGUGCCAGCAGCCGCGGUAAGACGGAGGGUGCGAGCGUUAUUCGGAUUUAUUGGGCGUAAAGGGUGUGCAGGCGGUCGGCCAAGUCUGAUGUGAAAGCCCGGGGCUUAACCUCGGAAGGGCGUUGGAAACUGGUCGACUUGAGUUCGGGAGAGGGAAGCGGAAUUCCGGGUGUAGAGGUGAAAUUCGUAGAUAUCCGGAGGAACACCGGUGGCGAAGGCGGCUUCCUGGACCGAAACUGACGCUGAGACACGAAAGCGUGGGGAGCAAACAGGAUUAGAUACCCUGGUAGUCCACGCGGUAAACGAUGGGCGCUAGGUGUGGGGGGUUUUUAAUCCCUCCGUGCCGCAGCUAACGCAUUAAGCGCCCCGCCUGGGGAGUACGGCCGCAAGGUUAAAACUCAAA